ACGGUCAUCCUUCCGCAGCGGCCCGAGGCGCGGGGCUGGAGAGCGGGGUCACAGACUCACACGGGAAGGGCGGGGAUGCCGGGCCCUCUGACUCACAGGCCCCCCACCCCCCUUCCAAGUCUGUUUUAUUCUUUGCCCCCAGAGCACUUGUCUCUGGAGGCAGCAUCAGCUCAAAAGGCCACCUGCCGAGAAGGCUGCGGCGGCAUUUGUACUUGGCGAGUUCUGGGCUUCCAGGGAGACAAGGGUUGGAAGUGGGAAUGUGACAAAGAGAAGGGUUUGGGCUUUCUGCGUGUAUUCGUACAGGCUGUGGGUAGAUGUGCCGCCACAGUAGCUUCUGGAAAAAAGCAGGGAAAAAGACAGUAAGUGCAAAUGAACGUGGACGGUGUUCCUCAUCUGGUUUGAAACUCAGGUUGGUGAUGGGAAAUUCCCGCCAGCCGGGAGUUAGGCUCGGUUGUAGACGUUGAAUCUUUUUUUUCUCUGCCUUUUUUUAAUUUGGAGGAGACUUUUGGAGAAAGACUUUGAGACAAUUAUAGUUGAAGGAAAUGAGAUACAAAGCGACGAGUUUCAGAUGUCACCAGCAUCUGUGGGUUAAAAUAUGGAAUUGGAAUGAAAAGGCUAGUGCCCGGUUACGGUACACUUUUGAUCUGUGUGGCGCGUGUCACGCUUGAUUAAUUACUGGUGUUGGAGACGUGUUGGAAAAAACACGUGUCGAGGUCUUCUGUGGAUGAAAGUUUGUCUAUACUCUAUUUCUUCAGGGACUUGAGUUUAUAUUUUUCUAGUACAGUUAACAUAUUUUAGAUUAUUUGAAAGCUAGUAUACUCCUUGGCUUAGUGAAAUAAAUGUUCCUGUGUUACAGAAACACUUCUAUAAACAUAAACAUUUCUGUAAACAUGUUCUAGAAACCCUUUCUAUAAACAUAUUUCUAUAACAGCAUUAAAAUAUAACAAUGUUCCAAGUAACAUUUACUUGGGGAACUUGCCUGGUGUAGCAAUUCCAGUUACCUGCCCUUACAUAUUCGUUAACGAUUGAAUUAACAUUUUAAUUUAGACUUAAGGAUGAACAAUUUAGGCUGUCAAAUGGAAAAAACAGUAGAAUGACCUACUUUUAAACUGUUUAAGCUCGAGUCCAGCUAAUUUUAUUACUGCUUGAGGUAAAAUAGAAUGAAAUUAUUUUACAUGUUAUUGAGGGAAGAUUUUGUUAGUUUCUACUUAAAAUAUUUUUAAAAAAUAACUGUUCUUGGCCUCAGGCAAAGGUUAUCACUUGGUCAGGAAUAUGAAAAUUAUGUGAUUAUUUCACAGAUUGGUGCUUCAACUGCUCACUUGUGCAUUCCUUUGUCAGGAACAAGUGAAUGGAAGCAAAUAGUGGUAACAUAAGGCUUGGGCUGCCCUAAACCCUACCAAAUUAUACGUUAAUUUUGUUGGAGCUGCUACUUACCGGUGGAAAAGUGUAAACUUUUGUCCUUCUUACAGGUAGAAAAGUAGGCAGUUCUUUGUUCUUUUUCUCAGUUUGCUGUUCUCAGCUGACAGUCCACCAGGGGAACAUUAGGAGAUUUUGGUAAUGUUUCUUUGUGACCUACUUAGAGCAGUUUUUCUUUUGCAAUUUAUGUUAUGGUUUUUCUUCUCCCCGCCCCCCCCCCACUCGUUCUAAUGUUUGCAUAGAAAGUAAACAACAGAGGCAGGUUUAAGUUUUUGUAAAAGUUUGUGAAUGGUAUAUGGUCCUUAGGACUGAGGGGGCUAGUGUUAAAAGAUAAAAUUUAACAUAAAACCAACAUUUGUGACUAAAGCCAAUUUUUUUUUUCUUUUAUUUUUGUCAGUCUAAUAAAACUGCCCACUUGGUCUUAACAUUUGCAAAUUGAUUGGUUACUUUUUUUAAGGUUUCAGAAUUCAAAUAAGCAUUGUAUGUUGUUUGUUUAAUUAUAUUGUGCUUUGGCUGCCUUGGACAAAACUAUUACUGACUUUACAGAGAAGAAUGGAUAAUUGUGGAAGUAGGUAGGUCGAAAAAGAAAAAAAACAAAAAACAAACUGCACCCUUCCCCCAGUAGUUUGUUAACAGCAAGUGGGAAAAACCUGUGGUAGUGCAAUACUGCCCUUCCAAGCCCUGGAGUUAAAUUUAGAUUCAGCAACUGUUAUCUCACAUGUAGUUGGUGAUCACAGUGUGGUGGCAAACUAGGUUUAUAAUUUUAUAUCUCAGAAAUCAGCUAUUUAUUUCUUUUUAAAGGUAUUCUAGGACAUCCUGUCUGGCUUCAGUUGGGAAGGCUAAGGCAAGGCAGGUGAUAUGGUUAAGAGUAGGAAUGAUUCACAUACAUGAAUAGUGUCUUAAUCUGUCUUUCGAGGUGGAAAGCAAUAAAAAAAAAUGCUCUCACUCCCUGUAGCUUAGUAAAUAAGGUCUUGAGGUGGCUUUAUGACAGAGUCCCUCUUCUGUCAGAUGGCUGUCUAUCAUGUAAUACUGCUUAGUUUUUGGUAUGCAUGUUGUAUCUUAGGUACUUAAUAAAAUAAAAAUUAUAGAUGAUUCAGAGAUGUGGCUUCCUGGAUGGUACACACAAGGCCUUUGUAGGGAUGUAAUCUUUGGUGGCUGUUAACUUCAUUGGUUUUAUAAAGCAUCAUGUAUUUGUAUAACCCUUUGCAUAUUUUGAAAGUGCUUUCACACAUCUUUGGUAUUACCAUUUUUUUUUUUUUUUAACUAAGAAGUGAAUUGGGGCUCUGAAACGGAAUUGUCCAAAGUAUUUUGAAAAGCAUGCGGUACCUAAUAGUGUACUAUAGCCUGCUAUUUACUUAAUUAAAAAAUCUUAGGGGGAUUUUGAAUAUGGAAGGUAAGAAUGUGACACCUACCUGCCUUUGCAGGCUUAUUCCACAUGCUGUUUAUGCAAAGCUGUUGGCUGUGCCUUAAGUACACCCUUGUUCCUGGACUCUGAGGUUGCCUAGAGUUUCCUGGAGUAUAUCCACCUGUCUUGAUCAUCUAUUUAAGAAUUUUGCAGAUGAGCAUCAGUAUUAACUAACAUAUCUUUUCACUUGAUGAGCAAGAUUGAUUUUUUAUUAAUUAUGAACCUGAGUAGGUUUUAACUUCGAAGUGGGGAAGGGAUACACUAAGGUAAAAGAUAAAAGUUAAGUAUUCUGAUUCCUGAAGGGUUUUUCUUUCAGAAAAACGGUAUUUUUGAGAUAAAAUUUGUGGAAGAGUUGCAAUUUAUAUACUUAUUAUCCAGUGUUAACAUAUUACAGUCAGGGUACUUUGAACAGAACUGAUAAAUUAACAUCAAUAAAAUACUGUAAACUCAAUGACAGACUGUAUUUGGAUUUCCUGUUUUUCUACUAAAGUCCUUUUUCUGUUUCAGGAUCCAGUCCAGGAUGCCACAUUGUAUGUAGUCUCCUUAGUCUCCUGAUCUGUGUCACUUUGUCUUUCCUUUUGACUUUCUUGACCAUACACUUGAUGUCAUUUGGAUCUGAUAUUAAGAUUACACUGAAGUACGGAUUUUAGGGGAAGAAUACCACAGAAAUUACCCUUAUCGAGUCAUAUUGGGGGUCCAUAAUAUAUACCUCGUUGAAUUUAAACUCAUGAUUUUGUUAAGGUGGUAUCUGUCAGGUUAGUAUUUUUUCCCCUUUCCAUACUAUUUCUUAGGUGCUAGUUACUAAGUCCUGGUCACACUCAAGGAGAGAAGAGAAUUAGACUCUACUUCUCUAGAAGGAGGAGAAUGUGAAUUUGUGGACAUACAUUAAAGCUACUGUUAAUAUUUUGGCAUGCAAAUAAAGUUCCCCUUCUUAAUUUUAGCAUUUUAGGAUCUUGUCUGCAGGUAUUACUGCAGAUAGGUAUUACUGUUCUAAUAGUGAUUUAAAAAAAAAUUUGCCCAAUUCUUUCUACAGUAUUAUAAAUUCUCUGUAAGGAAGAUUUGUGUAUUCUUCAUUUGUUUCUUUUCAGUCAUUUAUGUGACUGUAGACCAUGGAUAUUAAUUUUGUUCUUUGGAUUGUAAUCCACCAUUAUCCUUGCUGAUAUUUACUUAUUUUUUAAUAUUUAUUUUAUUUUCUAUUUUUAUACAGUAUUUUUCAGGCUGGUCUUGAACUCCUGGGCUCAAGCAAUCCUGUCUUGGCCCCCCAAAGUGCUGGGAUUACAGGUGUCAGCCACUGUGCCUGGCCACAGAUUAUUUUGUUCAUAUUGUUCCAGCUUUUUUUUUGGCUCUUUUGUUUUGAUACUUGCCUGUCUUUUCUGUUUUUUAAAAGCAUUUUCUUUCUUUCAUUAAUUACCAGGUGUUUCAGACUCGUAUCUUGUAUUUUGCCUGUCUCAGGUCCGGAAUCAACCAUUUCUCCAAGGAGCUGUCAAGAAGAAUUUUGAAGGGAGGGUAACAGGUGGUAAAUGUGAAGAGUUUGGAAAAUAGAUUGACGAUACCACCUGUAUUUCCAGCUUCUCAAAAGACUGAGGUGGCAGAGACAAUUACUUGAGCCCGGGAGUUUGAGGCCGCAGUGACCUAUGAUCAUGCCACUGCACUCCAGCCUGGGCAACACAGCAGACUCUUAAAAAAAAAGUAUACCCAUGAAACUGUCACCACAGUCAAGGUGGUGAACGUAUCUGUUACCGCCAAAAGUUUUCUCAUGUCCCUUUUCCCUUUCUUACUUGUUCCUCCCACCCUUCUCCCUGCAGGAAAUCCUUGGUCUUUCUAUAACUGUAGAUUACUUUGCAUUGUCUAGAAUUUUUGUGUAAAUAAGUUAUGUUCUUUUUUUGUUGCUCAGUGCUAGUCUGUUGUGUAGGCGUAUCACAGUUUAUUGAUUUACCUGUUGGUGGACAUUGAAACAUGCAAAACCUGUGUUUUCAGCUUUUUGACUAUAUUAAAAAUAAAGCUUCUGAACUUUGUGUACAAAUCUU